UACGUAGGGUGCAAGCGUUGUCCGGAAUUAUUGGGCGUAAAGAGCUCGUAGGCGGUUUGUCGCGUCGAAUGUGAAAUCCCGGGGCUCAACCCCGGGUCUGCAUUCGAUACGGGCAGACUAGAGUUCGGUAGGGGAGUCUGGAAUUCCUGGUGUAGCGGUGAAAUGCGCAGAUAUCAGGAGGAACACCGGUGGCGAAGGCGGAUCUCUGGGCCUUACCUGACGCUGAGGCGCGAAAGCUAGGGGAGCGAACAGG
rnacentral:rRNA from 1 species